AGACAAUCUCUGGACUAUGUAGUG
rnacentral:piRNA from 1 species